rnacentral:rRNA from 1 species
UACAGAGGUCCCAAGCGUUGUUCGGAUUUACUGGGCGUAAAGGGCGCGUAGGCGGCCAGCACAAGUCAGUUGUGAAAUCUCCGAGCUUAACUCGGAAAGGUCAACUGAUACUGUGCGGCUAGAGUGCGGAAGGGGCAACUGGAAUUCUUGGUGUAGCGGUGAAAUGCGUAGAUAUCAAGAGGAACACCUGCGGCGAAGGCGGGUUGCUGGGCCGACACUGACGCUGAGGCGCGGAAGCUAGGGGAGCGAACGGG